GACUUCUGGUUUAAUGCACCUGGCCCGCGGCCCACAAGGCCUGUGAGUGCCGGCGCGCGUUUACCAUCCUUCCAGCAACGGCUACCCUUAACUGGGCGGCUGGAACUGGAUCUUUUACUUUGAAAAAAUUAGAGUGUUUAAAGCAGGCGUUUGCUCUGAAUACAUUAGCAUGGAAUAAUAAUCUAGGACUUCGGUUCUAUUUUGUUGGUUUCUAACUCUGAAGUAAUGAUUGAUAGGGAUAGUUGGGGGUGCUAGUAUUGGCCGGUCAGAGGUGAAAUUCUUGGAUUCGGUCAAGACUAACUUAUGCGAAAGCAUU
rnacentral:rRNA from 1 species